rnacentral:rRNA from 1 species
UACGAGGGGUGCAAGCGUUGCUCGGAAUUAUUGGGCGUAAAGGGUAGGUAGGUGGUCUCAUUUGUCUGGGGUGAAAGCCUUGAGCUUAACUCAAGAAGUGCCCCAGAAACGGUGAGACUGGAGUCCUGGAGAGGGUCGUGGAAUUCCCGGUAUAGCGGUGAAAUACGUAGAGAUCGGGAGGAACACCAGAGGCGAAGGCGGCGACCUGGACAGGUACUGACACUCAACUACGAAAGCGUGGGGAGCAAACAGG